AGCAGCCGCGGUAAUUCCAGCUCCAAUAGCGUAUAUUAAAGUUGUUGCAGUUAAAAAGCUCGUAGUUGAAUUUUGGGUUUGGCCGAUUGGUCCGUUCUUGUAACGAGUACUGGUCGGUUGGGCCUCACCGCUUGGUGAUGCGUAAUGCCCUUUAUUGGGUGUUGCGAGUAGCCAAGACCUUUACCUUGAAAAAUUAGAGUGUUUAAAGCAGGCAUAUGCCGGAAUACAUUAGCAUGGAAUAAUAGAAUAGGACAACGAUUCUAUUUUGUUGGUUUCUAGGACCGUUGUAAUGAUUAAUAGGGAUAGUUGGGGGCAUUAGUAUUCAAUUGUCAGAGGUGAAAUUCUUGGAUUUAUUAAAGACUAACUACUGCGAAAGCAUUUGCCAAGGAUGUUUUCAUUAAUCAAGAACGAAAGUUAGGGGAUCGAAGACGAUCAGAUACCGCCGUAGUCUUAACCAUAAACUAUGCCGACUAGGGAUCGGGCGAAGUUGUUUCAAUGACUCGCUCGGCACCUUAUGGGA
rnacentral:rRNA from 1 species